rnacentral:lncRNA from 1 species
AUUAGCUAAAAUUGUUACUACCCAUGCGAAAUAAAUUAAGAUUAUGGGACUAAGUUAUACAUGGGUUCAAAUCUACUAUAAAUCUCAAUCCCUGUUUUCUUUGUUGUUGAAAUUUUUUCAAAUUCCUUCCCAAUAAUAGCUCUAGAAUGACUAUUAUGCCUAAGAAACCAUUAUUUAGAAUUUUAUGCGGUAUAUGAAAAGUUAUCUAAAAUUUGACCCUCUUGUAAAAAGUUUCUAACUACGCCACUGCUUGGGGGUUUACCCUGGGUCCAUUCCAUUUUACUAUUAUGCAAUUUUAUUUAGUUUUUACUAUAAUUUAAUUGUAGUUCUAAGCGGCUUUAUGUCGCCAAUAUAAUAUCCUAUCACAAUUUGAUAGGGUGCGAAUGGCCUUGUGCCGGUCUAUGCACCUUGUGUGUCUCAUCUGCUAUAGGCAGGCGACGAGUCGUUUGUUUGGUCAAAUGGUUGCAACCUCCUAGUGGUAGGAUGAAACUAAGUGUCGUCGGGUUUAUUCUCUGGCAGCAACAUAGUAGGAAAGUUGCAUUAUUGAACAUCAGGAUAUGUGAUUGUGUCAUAUGUCAACUGAUCUUUCCAUUAUGUCACCGCUAUGACAAAGCAAAUAGAGUCGUCAUUAAAUUAGUACUCUUUGCUAGUUGGUGCUUGUUAGAAUACAUGUACUUUGUAAAAUGUCUCGAUAUUAUUUCGAGACUUCUAGAUGUUUAUUGUAAUCAGGGGUUUAGGCUUCAUGUCCUCCCCCCCCCUUUGUAUUCGACAAUUUCAUUAAUAGAGGCUUGAGGGCAGCCGCACCAACCCUUCUUUCUAAAAAAAAAAAAAAAUUCUACCAAUAACAUGAGCUAACUAACAUACAAAAGUAGACUUUCUAAAAAAAUUGUUAUUUAUAUUGUUCUUCGUUGAACCCACUACAACUCUAAGAUGCAAAGUCGAUCUACUAGUAAAAUGAGAUAAGUCUAUUAGUAACAUGAGUCAAGUAUACCAGUAAGUCAGUAACGUACAUAAACUAACUGACAUAUAAAA